AUCGCUUCUCGGCCUUUUGGCUAAGAUCAAGUGUAGUAUCAAAUCAUGGCUCUACCCUUU
rnacentral:snRNA from 1 species